ACUAAGAAAUUAUGUCAAGCUCCCAUGGUGCCAAGGUGUUGUGACACUGUUUAAAGUCACCAGCUCAGACCACAGUGCCAGGACAUGUGGCAGUGCAGCUAUAGGAAGGGAAGCCACGAGGCCACUCAGGACUGGGGAAGAUGGACCUGGAGGAAGGCAGAGACUGAACAUGAGGCUCGUGUCCAGCUUCUGGGAAGGAACCCAAGUUCGCGGAACAGGUACCUGCCAGAAAUUACAAUCUGCUGUAAUGUGGUGAUGUGUUUUCCAAGAUGACAAUGCCACCCCUGCCACCAUCAGGACCAAGCACAACUACUACCAGUCUAUUGACUUCAAGGUUGACUGAGGCGGUGAGCUAGCUACACGCACACAAAGCACCACAAAGACAAUGAACACACGCUCUGCCUAACCUAUAUGCUAAGUGGUGAGAGGUGGGAGGGAGUUUCCUGAGGCCCUGGAAAAAGCUCAUGAGGUUGGUUUGAAUUCUGGAAAGAGGCCAUCACCCACUCCUUUUGCUUCUUCACUCCCUAGCCAGCAGGUACCCAGCUAUCACCAUACUUCUUUCCCAUAUGUGCACACGUCUAUGACUUUUCCAUCAAGCCUCAAGGUAAAGGGGAAAAGAAGCCAAGAGAAUCAAGAGGUCAAUACCAGCUCUGACAACAAGAUCUGGUCUCAAGCAGUAACAACAAAAAUAGAAGACACUGUUUGAAGCAGGCAUAGUCUCUCAUUGGGUAGAGGACGGGCAUGAGGCUUUCGGUGGCACUGAUUAAAUCAUGUCCCUAUGUG